rnacentral:rRNA from 1 species
AUACAUGCAAGUCGAACGAGGCACUUGUGCCUAGUGGCGAACGGGUGAGUAAUACAUAAGUAAUCUACCUUUUCAUGUGGGAUACCUGAUGGAAACAUGAGUUAAAACCACAUAGGUAAUUAAAUGGCAUCAUAGAAUUAUUAAAGGGGCUUCGGCUCUGGGAAAAGAUGAGCUUAUGGCGCAUUAGCUAGUUGGUAAGGUAAUGGCUUACCAAGGCGACGAUGCGUAGCCGGCCUGAGAGGGUGAACGGCCACACUGGGACUGAGACACGGCCCAGACUCCUACGGGAGGCAGCAGUAGGGAAUUUUCGGCAAUGGGGGGAACCCUGACCGAGCAAUGCCGCGUGAAGGAAGAAGGUUUUCGGAUUGUAAACUUCUGUUAUAUGGGAAGAAUAAAGUCUAUAGGAAAUGAUAGACCGAUGACGGUACCAUAUGAGAAAGCCACGGCUAACUACGUGCCAGCAGCCGCGGUAAUACGUAGGUGGCAAGCGUUAUCCGGAAUUAUUGGGCGUAAAGAGUGCGCAGGCGGUUUAAAAAGUCUGGGGUGAAAGACUGAAGCUUACCUUACCAGGUCUUGACAUGGCGUUAAAGGCUCCAGAGAUAGAGAGAUAGUUAUAGCGCACACAGGUGGUGCAUGGUUGUCGUCAGCUCGUGUCGUGAGAUGUUGGGUUAAGUCCCGCAACGAGCGCAACCCUUAUCCUUAGUUACCAGCAGUAAGAUGGGGACUCUAAGGAGACAGCUAGCGAUAUGCUAGAGGAAGGUGGGGAUGACGUCACAUCAUCAUGCCCCUUACAACCUGGGCUACACACGUGCUACAAUGGACGGAGCAAAGCGAAGCGAUAUGGUGACAUGGAGCAAAACGCAUAAAACCGUUCUCAGUUCGGAUUGUAGUCUGCAACUCGACUACAUGAAGUUGGAAUCGCUAGUAAUCGUAGAUCAGCAUUGCUACGGUGAAUACGUUCUCGGGUCUUGUACACACUGCCCGUCAAACCANCGAGAGUUGAUAACACCCGAAGUCGGUGGCCUAACCGUAAGGAGGGAGCCGCCUAAGGUGGGAUUGAUG